AUGAAUAUAUAUAUAUAUAUAUAUAUAUAUAUUUUUUUUUUUUUUCAGUAACUUAGCUUCUUGCAUUGAAGUUGAUCCAAAUGUUAAUGACUCCAGUCAGGUGCAUAAGGCUUUUAGGCACAAAAGAUGGCUCUCAGAGGCAGGAUGUCUUCUCAGCCCUUUACACGAUCCCCUUAGAGCACGUUUAUGUAGGCAACAGAUGCCAUACUUAUAUUUUCACAGUGGCUUGAAUUUUUUUCCUUUAUUCUGCACUAUUACACUGUCUCACCUACGCUGAUGUAUCAUUAGCUACAAUUAUUGUGUAUUGGUACGAUUAUUGUGUUAUCAUUCACCGUGUUGGAGUUUCAUUUGCCCUAUUUUUGUGAGAGGAAUGGAACAAAGUUCUCCACUAACCAGCAAACAGGAUGGGGAGAGGCAUCUUUUAAGAACACACACACAUGUGACAAUACACAAGGUAAAUUAUAAGCUAUAAUUAAAAAUAUGUGGAAACCAACAUCACUGGGUCCUUCCCAAGCUAAAGAUCUCUGGGAAAUACGCAACAAUUUGUAGCUGCCCUCGUUCUAUUUUCACUGCAAAAUAUUUUUCUCCAUGUACACGGUAUUGUUACAAGAGGAUUUGGGUGCUUGUGAAUUAAGGAAAUCUUCCAAAUAAGGGGGAAAAAAACAACAGAAACCUCAUUCACAAAUGUGUCUGUUUUCAGCAGUGUUGAUAGCAUUUUGUGGAGAUGCCGGAAUCAAUGAAAGCCUGUUGCGAGCACAUUUGUUAAAAGUACCUAACCGCUUUCAAAGUUUUCAUAACUUUUCAUUUCGUAGAAGAAAUCUAUGCUUUUUUUUUUUUUUAAUGAACUUUAUAUCAUAGGAAGAGGCUGAACAUGGGGCUUGGCUGUAAGGACUUUGCAAACCAGACCACACAUUGUUCUGAGAACAGCACAGUCAGGCUUCCCAGUCUCGGGUGCCAGGACCCCCCCCCACCCCGGGAGCGCCUGUUGGAAGCUCGCUCCCCUUCCAGAGCCGACUUCGACGUAAGCACGGCCGCCACGUCCGGUGCAUCGAAUCGCUGCAUCGCCCUGACGUUUCCUGCAAAGUCAGGUCCAGCCCUGAGCAUCCUUUUCAUCUCUGAUGCUGGAAUGUGGAAAAUAAAAGAUACGAAAUGCUAACGUGGAAAAAGAAAAUCAGCAUAGAUAAGUGUACGAGAAAAGAUACACGACAGUAAAUUCUAACAUAAGACUGUUGAAGGAGUCAUAAAGGACUUUUUCAUUACCAAUGAAAAAGAGGAAAAACCUAGCGAUGCUACCAAUGCAAAUGUUGAGCCCUGGAUUUUGACAGAGCUCUCAGGAGGUGAGGUGGCCACGUCAACUUAAGACACACUGGGCAGAAGCAGACUACCUCCUGGGCUCAGAUCGUGUGGUUGGAGAAACCAUUCAUUCUUUCAAGGCAAAGACGGUUUUACUGACCAGAUUAAGAAAGGUCAGUAUUCCAAACGUUUUAUUCUUCGAUAUCAGCUUAAAUAUUAGUGUAGGCAUUGAAAUUCCACAGUAUGCGCAUCUGUGAAAGUUUACCUCUAAGCAGUAUUUACAGUUCACUCAACUUAGUAAGGUCACAGCAUUAAGCCUCUCACUCCCAGAAUGAUGGCCCAGUCACUGGCUGGUCCCAUCACUCCAUGGCAAGUCCUGAGCCUGUCAUGUGACAAUUCGGGUGUGAAAAAAACUAAAGACACUUUGGACAUGGAAAGAGACAGAAAGUUUAUUACACACAGACUUUCCUGAAAUUCCUCCAGGAUGCUCCUUAGUGCAAAACAACCGAAUUCAAGAAAGCAGGAAACAGGGGUCCUGAGUGGCUCAGUUGGUUAAGCAUCUGUCUCAUGGCUCAGGUCAUGAUCUCAUGGUUCAUGGGUUCGAGCCCCACGUCGGGCUCUGUGUUGAUGGUGGAGAGCCUGCUUGGGAUUCUCUCUCUCUCUCUCUCUCUCUCUCUCUCUCUCUCUGCCUCUCCCCCACUUGUACGCAUGUGUGUGUGUGCACACCCUCUCCCAAAAUAAAGAAAUAAACAUUAAAAAAAAAAAAAGAAAG
rnacentral:lncRNA from 1 species